rnacentral:rRNA from 1 species
GAUGAACGCUGACAGAAUGCUUAACACAUGCAAGUCAACUUGAACUUCGGUUUGGGUGGCGGACGGGUGAGUAACGCGUAAAGAACUUGCCUCACAGCUAGGGACAACAUUUGGAAACGAAUGCUAAUACCUGAUAUUAUGAUUUUAGGGCAUCCUAGGAUUAUGAAAGCUAUAUGCGCUGUGAGAGAGCUUUGCGUCCCAUUAGCUAGUUGGAGAGGUAACGGCUCACCAAGGCGAUGAUGGGUAGCCGGCCUGAGAGGGUGAUCGGCCACAAGGGGACUGAGACACGGCCCAAACUCCUACGGGAGGCAGCAGUGGGGAAUAUUGGACAAUGGGGGAAACCCUGAUCCAGCGACGCCGCGUGAGUGAAGAAGUAUUUCGGUAUGUAAAGCUCUAUCAGCAGGGAAGAAAAUGACGGUACCUGACUAAGAAGCCCCGGCUAACUACGUGCCAGCAGCCGCGGUAAUACGUAGGGGGCAAGCGUUAUCCGGAUUUACUGGGUGUAAAGGGAGCGCAGACGGCAAUGCAAGUCUGAAGUGAAAGGCGUGGGCUCAACCCAUGAACUGCUUUGGAAACUGUAUAGCUUGAGUGUCGGAGGGGUAAGCGGAAUUCCUAGUGUAGCGGUGAAAUGCGUAGAUAUUAGGAGGAACACCGGAGGCGAAGGCGGCUUACUGGACGACAACUGACGUUGAGGCUCGAAGGCGUGGGGAGCAAACAGG